rnacentral:rRNA from 1 species
AACGCGGCGGGCGUGGAUAAAACAUGCAAGUCCAGCGGAAUACAGGCUGUAGCAAUAUGGCUUGUGUUCAGCGGCGCAAGGGUGCGUAACACGUGGGCAAUUUACCAUGAAGACUGGAAUAACUCGCUGAAAGGCGAGCUAAUACCGGAUGUGACCUUUGGGAGGCAUCUCUCGAAGUUUAAAGUUGGGGACCGUAAGGCCUGACGUUUCAUGAUAAGCCCGCGGCCUAUCAGCUAGUUGGUGAGGUAACGGCUCACCAAGGCUAAGACGGGUAGCUGGUCUGAGAGGACGACCAGCCACACUGGAACUGAGACACGGUCCAGACACCUACGGGUGGCAGCAGUCGAGAAUUUUUCACAAUGGGCGAAAGCCUGAUGGAGCGACGCCGCGUGGGGGAUGAAUGGCUUCGGCCCGUAAACCCCUGUCAUUUGCGAACAAACCUUAUCAUUUAAAAGAUGAUGAGCUGAUUGUAGCGGAAGAGGAAGGGACGGCUAACUCUGUGCCAGCAGCCGCGGUAAUACAGAGGUCCCGAGCGUUGUUCGGAUUCACUGGGCGUAAAGGGUGCGUAGGUGGUGAGGAAAGUCGGAUGUGAAAUCUCCGGGCUCAACCCGGAAACUGCAUUGGAAACUACCUUGCUAGAGGGUUUGAGGGGGGACUGGAAUUCUCGGUGUAGCAGUGAAAUGCGUAGAUAUCGAGAGGAACACCAGUGGCGAAGGCGAGUCCCUGGAAAACACCUGACACUGAGGCACGAAAGCUAGGGGAGCAAACAGGAUUAGAUACCCUGGUAGUCCUAGCCCUAAACGGUGCUUGCUUGCUGUAAGAGGAAUCGACCCCUCUUGUGGCGGAGCUAACGCGUUAAGCAAGCCGCCUGGGAAGUACGGUC